UCCUACGGGAGGCAGCAGUGGGGAAUAUUGGACAAUGGGCGCAAGCCUGAUCCAGCCAUACCGCGUGGGUGAAGAAGGCCUUCGGGUUGUAAAGCCCUUUUGUUGGGAAAGAAAUCCUAUCGGUUAAUAACCGGUGGGGAUGACGGUACCCAAAGAAUAAGCACCGGCUAACUUCGUGCCAGCACCCGCGGUAAUA
rnacentral:rRNA from 1 species